UUUAUUUAAUUUAAGUUAAUGUCCAGCAGCUGUCAAAAGUUUUGUGCUGAUUUGGAAGAGUUUGGAGUGCAGAUCUGGAAGAGCAGUAGAACUAAUUAAUUUUUUUUAAAGAUAAAGAGUUUGCAAAGAAAUUUGUGCACCUGAAACCCUAUCAGCAUCACAGGGUCUUUUCCUUUUAACAUUUGAGCAUUUUAAGAGUGACUUGACAGUGGCACUUGUUUUUCCAUUUUUAGUCCCAUCUCCCACCACCUUUUCCCAUUCUUCCUCAUCUAUGCACAGUUGAACCCCCAAAUAUAAAAGAGAGAGAGAGAGAGAGAGAGAGAGAGAGGUGAUCUUACUCAACCAUCUUUUAAUAUAGUUUAGGAUUUUGGUUUCAAAGAGGGGGGAAAAAUAAAAUCAUCUCAGAGGAACUCCAGGUUGAAUUCUGCGGUUCAUUAUCAGGCUUUAAUCUCAGUUCUCUUCAUUUUCAUAUCGAAAGACCGAAACAUACGAGCGAGGCGCUUAAAUGAGCUCUAGAACCUCGAGUACCAAAGUGAGAAGGAAAAGCCAAAUCGGUGUAAAGGCUCAAAGUGGCGAGCUCAUGGAAAACAAAGUACUGAGAACUUCUUCAGCUAAGAGAUUGUAUGUGGAGCAUAAAAGGCCUCAAGUGAAUAGCCAGAGACCUUUUCCGUCGAGUUAUUUCACCGUCGAAUCGUUCGUGAUACUUGGUUGCCUAACGGCAUCACUAUUGGUUCUUCCACUACUUUUGCCCCCGUUGCCUCCGCCGCCUUUUUUGUUAUUACUACUUCCGAUCGGCAUACUUGUUGUGCUGCUGAUCUUGGCCUUUAUGCCAUCUGAUACCCGGAAUAUCGCAUCCCCUUACUUGUAAAGCGCCGAUAACUUUUCCAUGUUAUAUACGAUGAGUUAAAAAGAGAAAUAUGUUCUUUUAUUUCUUCUA